rnacentral:RNase_P_RNA from 1 species
GCGGGUGGCGGUGAGGAAAGUCCGAACACCACAGGGCACCGUGCUUCCUAACCGGAAGGCGCCCGCGCGGUCUUGACCGUGGGGCGACGGCAUGUGCAACAGAAAGCUAACCCGCCGAUGGGCCCGGCUCGUGUCGGGACACAGGUAAGGGGUGAAAAGGGGAGGUAAGAGCUCCUCGGCGCGCGUGGUGACACGGGCGGCCAGGCAAACCCCACAGGGUGCAAGGCCAAGCAGCGUCGCACUGCUCCUUCGGGAGCGGAUAUCGCGGCCCGCGAAACCGCGGCGCGGGUAGGCCGCUUGAGCGCUUCGGCAACGAAGCGCCCAGAUAGAUGGUGCUCCUGAAGAGGCAGAGGCCCCGCGGCCCCUCGCUCUUCACGGACAGAAUUCGGCUUAUCGAU